rnacentral:rRNA from 1 species
UACGUAGGGUGCAAGCGUUAAUCGGAAUUACUGGGCGUAAAGCGUGCGCAGGCGGUUUUGUAAGUCUGUCGUGAAAUCCCCGGGCUCAACCUGGGAAUUGCAUUGGAGACUGCAAGGCUAGAAUCUGGCAGAGGGGGGUAGAAUUCCACGUGUAGCAGUGAAAUGCGUAGAGAUGUGGAGGAACACCGAUGGCGAAGGCAGCCCCCUGGGUCAAGAUUGACGCUCAUGCACGAAAGCGUGGGGAGCGAACCGG